rnacentral:rRNA from 1 species
CCUACGGGUGGCAGCAGUGAGGAAUAUUGGGCAAUGGGGGCAACCCUGACCCAGCCAUGCCGCGUGAGUGAAGAAGGUCUUCGGAUUGUAAAGCCCUUUCGGACGUGACGAUGAUGACGGUAGCGUCCAAAGAAGCACCGGCAAACUCCGUGCCAGCAGCCGCGGUAAUACGAAGGGUGCAAGCGUUGUUCGGAAUUACUGGGCGUAAAGGGAGUGUAGGCGGAAUUGUAAGUUAGCUGUGAAAUGCCAGGGCUCAACCCCGGAACUGCCAUUGUGACUAUGUGUCUAGAGUAAUGGAGAGGUUGGCGGAAUACCCGGUGUAGGGGUAAAAUUCGUAGAGAUUGAGUGGAACACCGAUGGCGAAGGCGACUAGCUGGCCAUUUACUGACGCUGAGGCUCGAAAGCAUGGGGAUCAAACAGGAUUAGAUACCCUGGUAGUC